AUUGAACGCUGGCGGCAUGCCUUACACAUGCAAGUCGAACGGUAACAGGUUAAGCUGACGCUUGGCGAACGGGUGAGUAAUACAUCGGAACGUGCCCAGUAGUGGGGGAUAGCCCGGCGAAAGCCGGAUUAAUACCGCAUACGACCUAAGGGUGAAAGGGGGGGAUCGCAAGACCUCUCGCUAUUGGAGCGGCCGAUGUCAGAUUAGCUAGUUGGUGGGGUAAAAGCUCACCAAGGCGACGAUCUGUAGCUGGUCUGAGAGGACGACCAGCCACACUGGGACUGAGACACGGCCCAGACUCCUACGGGAGGCAGCAGUGGGGAAUUUUGGACAAUGGGCGCAAGCCUGAUCCAGCCAUGCCGCGUGCGGGAAGAAGGCCUUCGGGUUGUAAACCGCUUUUGUCAGGGAAGAAAUCCUUUGGGUUAAUAACUCGGGGGGAUGACGGUACCUGAAGAAUAAGCACCGGCUAACUACGUG
rnacentral:rRNA from 1 species